ACUCCUUGGUCCUCUUCCUGUUAAUCGAAGUAAAGCAACAGAGGAAAUGUCUUUGGAAGGAAGUAUGUGUGUCAUGUAACCUGCCUCUGAAACACAAUGGAAACUCCCUGCCUCCUGCGGGACACCAGAGAACAAACUGCUGACUGCCAAAAGUGUAGCUACAAAGACAACAACAGAAUUUAGGUCAAUUGGGAUAAAGACAUGGUAACCCUGCUGAUCCUGCUAUAGCUUGACAGAACGAAUAGAUGUACAGUAGACAGGACAGUAGUAGACUCUCGGGUGUAAUUGGAUUACGUUACUGUGUGUAAUGGGGGAGUGUAUGUUGGACCGUUAUGGUGAAGAUUGUUUUCAAAGUUGUGAAGAGUUUGACGAUUGGUCCACAUUCAGUUCUGCGGACUGGACAGAACCCCAGCAAGAUGGCAAUGGGUUUUCAGACUGGGGUGCAUUCCAGGACAAAACCAGAAAAGAGGAAUCAUCAACCCCACCUGUGGCAGAAGCAGGAACUUUUGAGUUUCCUGAAAACACCGAAAAUGGCGAUAAGGGAAAUCCCUGGUUUAUUUUUAAUGACUGCUUUCAAAUUGAAGAGGAAGAGAAAGAUCCUGUCAUGAUGGAAAUCCCUACAUUGUCUCUGCUACAGCAGAGCACAUUAGACAAGUCGUCUCAGUCUGCAGCGAUAUCAAGUGAAGCUGCAAAUUUCUGGUGUCAUCUACAGUCUGGGUCCAAAAUUCUCAGACUGUCAGGUCCCAAACCCAAACUACACUCCCAUGAAGGACUGCUCAAAACCCUCCAGCUCAGACAUCCUGAUGCAAGCGCUGACUUGCAGACCACUACUCUUUUAGAUCUUGAACCAGAAGAUCUGGAAGAUCAUCCUGGAGCACUUAUUCAAACCAAGCUGAUGUCAUCAUCGCAGUGUCGGAAUGCACCAGGAUUCUUUUAUCAGAUCUCACGCCAGUGGCUCAGCCAGUACAACAUGAACCUGCUGCCCUACCAAAACAAGAAAGAUCCUCUGCAAUAAUCAACAUCACAUGUACACACACACACACACACACACACACACACACACACACACACACACACACUUACAGUUGCACUGACUACUUCAGAAAACUAAACCUGCAAGGAAAACUUUUAUUCCUAAAUGGAUAUUUUUCGUCAUUUACUCACUUGUUCUAAACCUAGUGUAAAUGCAUUGAAAUGAGCUACUCGUGCAUUCUUCAAAACAUCUCAGAAAAUCAUACAGGUUUGGAAGUAACCAAAAUGAUGACCGAAUACUACUGCCUGCAUUCAUUAAUGUUUAUGGAAACAAGCACAGGCAAGGUUUUCCAAGCACUUCCACAAAUACAUCCAAGCCUGUUACAAAGCAUGCUUGACAAAAGUAUUAGCAUGCACACUAGCUCAGGAUGGAAUUCCUGACUUACUUGAUGUACACACUUUGCCACUGAUCUAACAUUAAAAGAAGGAUUUUAAUAUAAGCAGAACAAAACUAAUAAGUGCCUAAAAAGAACAAAAUCAUUGUUAACCUUAAGUACAGGAAGUUAAUGCAGCCAUAUACUUAUAUAUAUUCCACUGUCUGCUGCUGCUGCCUAAGCUCAUGGCUUACUGUUCUUAAAGCUACAUUAUUUUUAUUGUAAACUGACAUCUGAAAUCUGUGACUGUAUUUGGUAUAUUUAUGUUCGAGAUAUUUAAACGAUAUAUGAAUAUAUAGUUCUAAAAGUUUGUGUCCUGCACUUUAGAGCAGUUUGUUAAUAAAAAAGAGAAGUUCAAAGUUCUUCA
ensembl:lncRNA